rnacentral:lncRNA from 1 species
GGCGGGCGCGGAGUGACAAAGCCGCCGCCGCCGGGGGUGGGAGCUGCACCCGCCCGCCCCGCGCGGCUCCGGACCGCGUAAAAGUUUGUCUGGGCUCGCGCCCCGGAGCUGCACAACGCCCUCGGGCUGGUGUGGAAGGCACUGGCCGCGCUGUGUUGACAGAGGUAGGGGCUUGUUUUUGCGACUCGUGCUCACUUUAAAUCUCCCCGGGAGGGGUUGGGGGAGCACUGCGUGUGCGGGGUACGUUUUGCGCUUCUCGCUCUCUCCGCAGCCUGCAAGUCCGGGAGUCGGCGCCCGCUUCCGCGGCGAGCGCUGAGGGUAAGGAGCCGAAGAAAGGCGUCCUCGAGUCUGUCCCCCCCCCUCCCGCGGGGGCCCUUUCCCGCUCGGGGGAGGCGGAGGCUGUCGGGGCGCCCCGUGCGCGGCGGCCGCCCAUUGUAUGCGGCUGCCGGCGGCGGCGCGCGGCGCCUGGGGCCGCCUCGCCCUCGCCCCUCUGCGCCACGCAGCGCGCCCACGCCUCCAGCUCGGUGAAAAGGUGAAACCCACAAGAGUAAAAGAGAGCGCACCUCCCCCCCAGAAGGAGAAGAAAACCUAUGUACAAAUUCUCCAUUUUACUCCCCACACAGCCGGAGGCAGGGAGUCGAGGGCAGAGCUAGCAGGCAGAGAGAGAGAGGGAGAGAGGAGGGGGCCCCCGCAGAGGGGACGGGAGCGCGGUGGGCGAGCGGCGGCUGCGCGCACCAGGGCGCCGGAGGCCCGCUGGACGCCCGGUCCGCUGGCCGGCCGCCCUCGGACCCCGGGGCUGUGCGUCGCGGGCGCCAGAAGCGAGAUUCUACCAAGUCCUGCCACACCAGGGAGUCCACAGGACAGAAAGGCCCCUGUUUAUCAAGCUCAUCUGGAGAGGAGCAUGCCUGAGAUCAUCGGGAGAAAGGUAGAGGACACUCCAGAGACAAGGUGUGGAUAACUGAAACUAGCCUUUGAGCAACAAGUUUUCUCCCUGGCUGAUGCUG